rnacentral:pre_miRNA from 1 species
CAGCUGUGGGCUCAGAAGCAGAGCUCUGGGUUGUCUCCAUCAUGGCCUGGACCCCUCUCCUGCUCCCCCUCCUCACUCUCUGCACAGGUGC